rnacentral:rRNA from 1 species
UACGAAGGGGGCUAGCGUUGCUCGGAAUUACUGGGCGUAAAGGGCGCGUAGGCGGAUAGUUUAGUCAGAGGUAAAAGCCCAGGGCUCAACCUUGGAACUGCCUUUGAUACUGGCUAUCUUGAGUUCGGGAGAGGUGAGUGGAAUGCCGAGUGUAGAGGUGAAAUUCGUAGAUAUUCGGCGGAACACCAGUGGCGAAGGCGACUCACUGGCCCGAUACUGACGCUGAGGCGCGAAAGCUAGGGGAGCAAACGGG